GUAGGUGGCAAGCGUUGUCCGGAAUUAUUGGGGCGUAAAGCGCGCGCAGGCGGUUCUUUUAAGUCUGAUGUGAAAGCCCACGGGCUCAACCGUGGGAGGGGUCAUUGGAAACUGGAGAACUUGAGUACAGAAGAGGAGAGCGGAAUUCCACGUGUAGCGGUGAAAUGCGUAGAGAUGUGGAGGAACACCAGUGGCGAAGGCGGCUUUCUGGUCUGUAACUGACGCUGAGGCGCGAAAGCGUGGGGAGCAAACAGGAUUAGAUACCCUGGUAGUCCACGCCGUAAAUGAUGAGUGCUAAGCGUUAGGGGGUUUCCGCCCCUUAGUGCUGCAGCUAACGCAUUAAGCACUCCGCAUGGGGAGUACGGCCGCAAAGGCUG
rnacentral:rRNA from 1 species